UGCUGCUCGUAUUACUCUAAAAUUUAUUAUAUCAAUGAGUUGGGUUGGGACCAGAAACCUCGAUGUUGUCUCAAAAAUUGUUUGGCUACAUUUAAUAGUUAAGUUGACCAUGAUCAUGAUCCAUGCAAAUGCUUGCACGUCCCCGUUAGACUGUAGUGAAAGUAUCCAAUUCCUCUAUAAGAAGGGAGCACUUGUAGCUUAGGAUGUCACACAAGAGAAGCCUCCUUUCUCUGCCAAACCCAGUUCACAUCUGAAUCAGGCUACCAGAGAUGAAGUCCAGCUUCCUUCUUCUCCUGUUGUUCUCAGUGGUGGCUCUUGGUGGUUCUUUUAGGGGCCAAGCUGCAGGCCUAGAACAUCACUUCUACAAGAAGAGCUGCCCACAAGCAGAGGAAAUUGUCCAAGACAUCAUAUAGAAACAUGUUGCUGAUAACUCCGAGUUGCCUGCGAAGCUCCUCAGGAUGUUCUUUCAUGACUGCUUUGUUAGGGGCUGUGAUGCUUCAGUGCUUAUCAACUCAACGGCAAACAAUACCGCUGAGAAGGACGCCGUUCCAAACUUAUCACUAGCAGGCUUUGAUGUCAUUGAAGAGGUGAAGACAGCAUUAGAGAGAGCUUGCCCUGAGACCGUCUCCUGCGCCGAUAUAAUUGCAUUGGCUGCUAGGGACUCAGUCUCCUUCCAACUUAAGGAGUCUUUAUGGGAAGUUCAGACCGGCAGGAGGGACGGCACCAUUUCCCUGGCAUCAGAGGCCCGUGCCAACAUCCCUUCGCCCUUCUCCAACUUCACAACUCUCGCCGGUCGUUUCGCAAACAAGACUCUUGAUGUCGAAGAUCUCGUCGUCUUGUCAGGUGCGCACACCAUUGGAAUAGGACAUUGCAAUUUUUUCAGCAAUCGAUUGUACAACUUCACAGGGAAGGGUGAUGCCGAUCCAUCUCUCAAUGCAACUUAUGCAGCAUUCUUGAAGACCCAGUGCAAGACUUUAUCUGAUAACACCACUACAGUACCUAUGGACCCUGGAAGUGGCCUUAAUUUCGACACCCAUUACUACGAGAACUUGAAGUUACAUCAAGGAUUGUUCAAAUCUGAUGCUGCACUCCUAACUGACCAACAUUCAGCCAACAUUGUAGACAAGAUGCUCAAUGCCAAAAACUUUUUCAAUGCAUUCAAAAAUUCAAUAAAAAGGAUGGGAGCAAUUGAAGUACUAACUGGGACAAAUGGAGAGAUUAGAAAGAAAUGUAGUGUUGUGAACUCAUAUGCACUAAUAAUUAGCCAGCCAAACCCAAUUCACAUCUGCAUUAAGCUAGUAAAUAUGAAGUCCAUCUUCCUUCUUCUCUUGCUGAACUUGGGGUUGGCUCUUGGUGGUUGUGUCAGUGGCCAAGCUGCAGGCCUAAAACAUCACUUUUACAAGAAGAGCUGCCCUGAGGCUGAGCAAAUUGUCCAAGACAUCAUAUGGAAACAUGUUGCUAAGAAGCCGGAGUUGGCUGCAAAGUUCCUCAGGAUGUUCUUCCACGAUUGCUUCGUCAGGGGUUGUGAUGCUUCAGUGCUUAUCAACUCCACUGCAAAUAAUUCUGCUGAGAAGGAUGCCACUCCAAACUUAUCACUUGCAGGCUUCGAUGUCAUCGAUGAGGUGAAGGCAGAAUUGGAGAAAGCUUGCCCAGAUACUGUCUCCUGUGCUGAUAUAAUUGCAUUGGCUGCCAGGGACUCGGUCUCCUUCCAAUUUAAGAGGCCUCUAUGGGAAGUUCAGACCGGCAGAAGGGAUGGCACCAUUUCCCGGAGAUCAGAAGCCCUUGCUAACAUCCCUGCACCCACCUUCAACUUCACAACCCUCGUCCAAAGCUUCGCAAACAAGACCCUUGAUGUCAAGGAUCUCGUCGUCCUCUCAGGUGCGCACACUAUCGGAGUAGGGCUUUGCAAUUUUUUCAGCAACCGGCUCUACAACUUCACUGGGAAGGGUGAUGCUGAUCCAUCCCUCAAUCCAAGUUAUGCAGCAUUCUUGAAGACCCAAUGCAAAAGUUUAUCUGAUAACACUACUUCGGUGCCUAUGGACCCUGGAAGUAGCCUUAUUUUCGACACUCAUUACUAUGAGAACUUGAAGCUGCACCAAGGAUUAUUCCAAUCUGAUGCUGCACUCCUCACAAACCAACGUUCAACCCACAUUGUGGACAAGAUGCUCGGCACCGAAAACUUUUUCAAUGCAUUCAAAAAUUCGAUAAAGAGGAUGGGAGCAGUUGAAGUACGCACUGGAACAAAUGGAGAGAUUAGGAAGAAAUGUAGUGUUGUGAACUCAUAAUGAAGCAUCGAGAAUAAGUGUUUAUGCAAGCAUGCAUAUAGAGAGUGAUUAUGUUAAUUUUUUAUGCUUCGACCUCAUGAAUUGCUGUGAAGAGCGUCAAUAAGAAUUCCUGUAGGUAAAUAUGUUUGUAUCCUGUGAUUGAUUUCACAUAUGCUUCACUUGAUAUUAUUUAAUAAAGUGGACUAUUUCUCUUUCAA